UACGAAGGGGGCUAGCGUUGCUCGGAAUCACUGGGCGUAAAGGGCGCGUAGGCGGCCAUGCGUGUCUUCCGUGAAAUCCCUCGGCUUAACUGAGGACGUGCGGAAGAAACUGCAAGGCUCGAGUCCGGGAGAGGGGGGUGGAAUUCCCAGUGUAGCGGUGAAAUGCGUAGAUAUUCGCAAGAACACCAGUGGCGAAGGCGGCUCACUGGCCCGAUACUGACGCUGAGGUGCGAAAGCGUGGGGAGCAAACAGG
rnacentral:rRNA from 1 species